AGUUUGAUCCUGGCUCAGAACGAACGCUGGCGGCAGGCUUAACACAUGCAAGUCGAACGCCCCGCAAGGGGAGUGGCAGACGGGUGAGUAACGCGUGGGAAUCUACCGUGCCCUGCGGAAUAGCUCCGGGAAACUGGAAUUAAUACCGCAUACGCCCUACGGGGGAAAGAUUUAUCGGGGUAUGAUGAGCCCGCGUUGGAUUAGCUAGUUGGUGGGGUAAAGGCCUACCAAGGCGACGAUCCAUAGCUGGUCUGAGAGGAUGAUCAGCCACAUUGGGACUGAGACACGGCCCAAACUCCUACGGGAGGCAGCAGUGGGGAAUAUUGGACAAUGGGCGCAAGCCUGAUCCAGCCAUGCCGCGUGAAGGACGACGGCCCUAUGGGUUGUAAACUUCUUUUGUACAGGGAUAAACCUAUUUACGUGUAAAUAGCUGAAGGUACUGUACGAAUAAGCACCGGCUAACUCCGUGCCAGCAGCCGCGGUAA
rnacentral:rRNA from 1 species